GGACGGGUGACUCUCCCGAGAACAACCUGCCCUCAGUUCUGGGAUACGCCAAUCCGCCGUGGGUAAUACCGGAUACGACCAUCGUCCGCAUGGGCUGGUGGUGGAAACUUUUUGGGGGGGGGAUGUGCUCGCGGCUUAUGAGCUUGUUGGUGGGGUAAGGGCCUACCAAGGCUUUGACGGGUAGCCGGCCUGAGAGGGUGACCGGCCCCACUGGGACUGAGACACGGCCCAAACUCCUACGGGAGGCAGCAGUGGGGAAUUUUGGGCAAUGGGCGCAAGCCUGACCCAGCAACGCCGCGUGAGGGACGAAAUCCCUUCGGGAUGUAAACCUC
rnacentral:rRNA from 1 species